rnacentral:lncRNA from 1 species
UGCAUGUUAUCAUCUCUAUGUCAAUUCUCUUUAGACAUUAUAUAUUUAGUUAUACAUAUUUUACCUUGUGCUUGUAUGAAACUUUGUUAUUGAAUGUGUCUUUACGUUUGCCGUUAUAUACACUUCUUAUAUCUUAGAACUAUACUAUAAAAUGGCAGACAAUGAAAUCCAGAAAAUAGUGGAACAGUUCAAAAUGGUACAUCAUCCAGAAACUGGUUACUUCAAAGAAGUAUGGAGAGGCGAAAGACAAGUUACGUUUACACAGGAAACAACG